rnacentral:rRNA from 1 species
UUGUGCCUACGGGGCGCAGCAGUGAGGAAUAUUGGUCAAUGGUCGGGAGACUGAACCAGCCACGCCGCGUGAGGGAGGAAGGUACAGAGUAUCGUAAACCUCUUUCGUCAGGGAACAAAGGCGGGGACGUGUCCCCGGAUGAGUGUACCUGAAGAAAAAGCAUCGGCUAACUACGUGCCAGCAGCCGCGGUAAUACGUAGGGAGCAAGCGUUAUCCGGAUUUACUGGGUGUAAAGGGCGUGUAGGCGGGCAUGCAAGCCAGAAGUGAAAUCUGGGGGCUUAACCCCCAAAC